CCCUACGGGGGGCAGCAGUAGGGAAUAUUGGGCAAUGGGCGAAAGCCUGACCCAGCCAUGCCGCGUGAGUGAUGACGGUCCUAUGGAUUGUAAAACUCUUUUCUGAGGAAAGAACAUCCGGGGUAGGAAAUGACCCCGGCUUGACGGUACCUCAGGAAUAAGGAACGGCUAACUCCGUGCCAGCAGCCGCGGUAAUACGGAGGUUCCAAGCGUUGUUCGGAAUUACUGGGCGUAAAGGGAGCGCAGGCGGACAAGUCAGUCUGAAGUGGAAUCCCGGGGCUUAACCUCGGACUUGCUUCGGAUACUGCUUGUCUUGAGUUCGUGAUAGGAAGACGGAAUUCAGGGUGUAGCGGUGAAAUGCACAGAUAUCCUGAGGAACACCGGUGGCGAAAGCGGUCUUCUGGCGCGAAACUGACGCUGAGGCUCGAAAGCGUGGGUAGCAAACGGGAUUAGAUACCCUUGUAGUC
rnacentral:rRNA from 1 species